GACGAACGCUGGCGGCGUGCUUAACACAUGCAAGUCGAACGGAAAGGCCCCCUUGUGGGGUACUCGAGUGGCGAACGGGUGAGUAACACGGGAGUAACCUACCCUUGACUUUGGGAUAACUUCAGGAAACUGGGGCUAAUACCGGAUAGGAGCUCCUGCUGCAUGGUGGGGGUUGGAAAGUUUCGGCGGUUGGGGAUGGACUCGCGGCUUAUCAGCUUGUUGGUGGGGUAGUGGCUCACCAAGGCUUUGACGGGUAGCCGGCCUGAGAGGGUGACCGGCCACAUUGGGACUGAGAUACGGCCCAGACUCCUACGGGAGGCAGCAGUGGGGAAUAUUGCACAAUGGGCGGAAGCCUGAUGCAGCAACGCCGCGUGCGGGAUGACGGCCUUCGGGUUGUAACCCGCUUUCGCCUGUGACGAAGCGUGAGUGACGGUAAUGGGUAAAGAAGCACCGGCUAACUACGUG
rnacentral:rRNA from 1 species